rnacentral:lncRNA from 1 species
UUUUAGAUUUUUUUGAUCAAUAGUUUUAUUUUCUAAAUAUAAUUUUCAAAAAUUCUAUUUUAGGAAAGUUUUCAUUUUUUCAUAGAAAUAUUGUAGAUUUGGGGUUGUGAUUUAGAAAUUUUGAUAACAAUAAUUUUUGUUGAUAGAUGAGUAUUAUUUCAGAUUUUUUUGAUCAAUAGUUGUAUUUUUUAAAUAUAAUUCUCAAAAAUUCUAUUUUAGGAAAGUUUUCAUUUUUUCAUAGAAAUAUUGUAGAUUUGGGGUUGUGGUUUAGAAAUUAGGAUAACAAUAAUUUUUGUUGAUAGAUGAGUAUUCUUUUAAAUUUUUUUGAUCAGUAGUUGUAUUUUUUAAAUAUAAUUUUCAAAAAUUCUAUUUUAGGAAAGUUUUCAUUUUUUCAUAGAAAUAUUGUAGAUUUGGGGUUGUGAUUUAGAAAUUAUGAUAAGAAUAAUUUUUGUUGAUAGAUGAGUAUUAUUUCAGAUUUUUUUGAUCAAUAGUUGUAUUUUUAAAUAUAAUUUCAAAAAUUCUAUUUUAGGAAAGUUUUCAUUUUUUCAUAGAAAUAUUGUAGAUUUGGGUUGUGGUUUAGAAAUUAGGAUAACAAUAAUUUUUGUUGAUAGAUGAGUAUUCUUUUAAAUUUUUUGAUCAAUAGUUGUAUUUUUUAAAUAUAAUUUUCAAAAAUUCUAUUUUAGGAAAGUUUUCAUUUUUUCAUAGAAAUAUUGUAGAUUUGGGGUUGUGAUUUAGAAAUUAGGAUAACAAUAAUUUUUGUUGAUAGAUGAGUAUUAUUUUCAGAUUUUUUUGAUCAAUAGUUGUAUUUUUUAAAUAUAAUUUUCAAAAAUUCUAUUUUAGGAAAGUUUUCAUUUUUUCAUGAAAUAUUGUAGAUUUGGGGUUGUGGUUUAGAAAUUAGGAUAACAAUAAUUUUUGUUGAUAGAUGAGUAUUCUUUUAAUUUUUUGAUCAAGUGUUGUAUUUUUUAAAUAUAAUUUUCAAAAAUUCUAUUUUAGGAAAGUUUUCUUUUUUUCAUAGAUAUUUGUAGAUUUGGGGUUGUGAUUUAGAAAUUAGAUAACAAUAAUUUUUGUUGAUAGAUGAGUAUUAUUUCAGAUUUUUUUGAUCAAUAGUUGUAUUUUUUAAAUAUAAUUUUCAAAAAUUCUAUUUUAGGAAAGUUUUCAUUUUUCAUUAGAAAUAUUGUAGAUUUGGGGUUGUGGUUAGAAAUAGGAUAACAAUAAUUUUUGUUGAUAGAUGAGUAUUCUUUUAGAUUUUUUGAUCAAUAGUUGUAUUUUUUAAAUAUAAUUUUCAAAAUUCUAUUUUAGGAAAGUUUUCAUUUUUUCAUAGAAAUAUUGUAGAUUUGGGGUUGUGAUUUAGAAAUUAGGAUAACAAUAAUUUUUGUUGAUAGAUGAGUAUUCUUUUAAAUUUUUUUGAUCAAUAGUUGUAUUUUUUAAAUAUAAUUUUCAAAAAUUCUAUUUUAGGAAAGUUUUCAUUUUUUCAUGAAAUAUUGUAGAUUUGGGUUGUGGUUUAGAAAUUAGGAUAACAAUAAUUUUUGUUGAUAGAUGAGUAUUCUUUUAGAUUUUUUUGAUCAAUAGUUUAUUUUUUAAAUAUAAUUUCAAAAAUUCUAUUUUAGGAAAUUUUCAUUUUUCAUAGAAAUAUUGUAGAUUUGGGGUUGUGAUUUAGAAAUUAGGAUAACAAUAAUUUUUGUUGAUAGAUGAGUUAUUUUCAGAUUUUUUGAUCAAUAGUUGUAUUUUUUAAAUAUAAUUUUCAAAAAUUCUAUUUUAGGAAAGUUUUCAUUUUUCAUAGAAAUAUUGUAGAUUUGGGUUGUGGUUUAGAAAUUAGGAUAACAAUAAUUUUUGUUGAUAGAUGAGUAUUCUUUUAGAUUUUUUUGAUCAAUAGUUGUAUUUUUAAAUAUAAUUUUCAAAAAUUCUAUUUUAGGAAAGUUUUCAUUUUUCAUAGAAAUAUUGUAGAUUUGGGGUUGUGAUUUAGAAAUUAGGAUAACAAUAAUUUUUGUUGAUAGAUGAGUAUUAUUUUCAGAUUUUUUGAUCAAUAGUUGUAUUUUUAAAUAUAAUUUUCAAAAAUUCUAUUUUAGGAAAGUUUUCAUUUUUUCAAAGAAAUAUUGUAGAUUUGGGGUUGUGAUUUAGAAAUUAGGAUAACAAUAAUUUUUGUUGAUAGAUGAGUAUUCUUUUAAAUUUUUUUGAUAUAGUUGUAUUUUUUAAAUAUAAUUUUCAAAAAUUCUAUUUUAGGAAAGUUUUCAUUUUUUCAUAGAAAUAUUGUAGAUUUGGGGUUGUGGUUAGAAAUUAGGAUAACAAUAAUUUUUGUUGAUAGAUGAGUAUUGGAAAGUUUUCAUUUUUUCAUAGAAAUAUUGUAGAUUUGGGGUUGUGAUUUAGAAAUUAGGAUAACAAUAAUUUUUGUUGAUAGAUGAGUAUUCUUAAAUUUUUGAUCAAUAGUUGUAUUUUUUAAAUAUAAUUUCAAAAAUUCUAUUUUAGGAAAGUUUUCAUUUUUUCAUAGAAAUAUUGUAGAUUUGGGGUUGUGAUUUAGAAAUUAGGAUAACAAUAAUUUUUGUUGAUAGAUGAGUAUUCUUUAAAUUUUUUUGAUCAAUAGUUGUAUUUUUAAAUAUAAUUUUCAAAAAUUCUAUUUUAGGAAAGUUUUCAUUUUUCAUAGAAAUAUUGUAGAUUUGGGGUUGUGAUUUAGAAAUAGGAUAACAAUAAUUUUUGUUGAUAGAUGAGUAUUUUUAGAUUUUUUUGAUCAAUAGUUGUAUUUUUUAAAUAUAAUUCUCAAAAAUUAUAUUUUAGGAAAGUUUUCAUUUUUUCAUAGAAAUAUUGUAGAUUUGGGGUUGUGGUUUAGAAAUUAGGAUAACAAUAAUUUUUGUUGAUAGAUGAGUAUUCUUUUAGAUUUUUUUGAUCAAUAGUUUUAUUUUCUAAAUAUAAUUUUCAAAAAUUCUAUUUUAGGAAAGUUUUCAUUUUUUCAUAGAAAUAUUGUAGAUUUGGGGUUGUGAUUUAGAAAAUUUGAUAACAAUA